rnacentral:rRNA from 1 species
GAUGAACGCUGGCGGCGUGCCUAAUACAUGCAAGUCGAGCGAACGGGCGAGAAGCUUGCUUCUCUGAUGUUAGCGGCGGACGGGUGAGUAACACGUGGAUAACCUACCUAUAAGACUGGGAUAACUUCGGGAAACCGGAUCUAAUACCGGAUGAUAUUUUGAACCGCAUGGUUCAAAAGUGAAAGACGGUCUUGCUGUCACUUAUAGAUGGAUCCGCGCUGCAUUAGCUAGUUGGUAAGGUAACGGCUUACCAAGGCAACGAUGCAUAGCCGACCUGAGAGGGUGAUCGGCCACACUGGAACUGAGACACGGUCCAGACUCCUACGGGAGGCAGCAGUAGGGAAUCUUCCGCAAUGGGCGAAAGCCUGACGGAGCAACGCCGCGUGAGUGAUGAAGGUCUUCGGAUCGUAAAACUCUGUUAUUAGGGAAGAACAUAUGUGUAAGUAACUGUGCACAUCUUGACGGUACCUAAUCAGAAAGCCACGGCUAACUACGUG